rnacentral:rRNA from 1 species
GACGUAGGGCGCGAGCGUUGUCCGGAUUUAUUGGGCGUAAAGAGCUCGUAGGCGGCUUGUUGCGUCGACCGUGAAAACCCGCGGCUUAACUGUGGGCUUGCGGUCGAUACGGGCGGGCUGGAGUUCGGUAGGGGAGACUGGAAUUCCUGGUGUAGCGGUGAAAUGCGCAGAUAUCAGGAGGAACACCGGUGGCGAAGGCGGGUCUCUGGGCCGAUACUGACGCUGAGGAGCGAAAGCAUGGGGAGCGAACAGG